UUGAUAAUUCAGUACAAAUGCUGAAAUAUUAACACAAGACGAGAAGACCCUGUGGAACUUUUAACUAACCUGCCAGCAGUAACCAACCAACCAACCACCCCUAGCAGACAGUUUAAGUUGGGGCAACUACGGAGCACAAUAAAACCUCCAUGAAACACGAAUACCAUUCGUUACCAAGGCCCACACGCCAACACAUUAAGCUUGACCCAGUAAAACUGAAUUUCGAACCAAGCUACCCCAGGGAUAACAGCGCAAUCCCCUUCAAGAGUCCCUAUCGCCAAGGGGGCUUACGACCUCGAUGUUGGAUCAGGACACCCCGGCGGUGCAGCCGCUGCCAAAGGCUCGUUUGUUCAACGAAUAAUGUCCU
rnacentral:rRNA from 1 species